rnacentral:lncRNA from 1 species
CCCAGGAUCUGCAGGGACAACCCCAGGAUCCUCUGGGAGACCCCCAGGAUCCCCAAGGAGAUCCCUAGGCUCCUCUGGGAGACCCCCAGGAUCCCCAAGGAGAUCCCCAGGAUCCUCUGGGAGACCCCCAGGAUGCCCAGGGAGACCCCCAGGAUCCAAAGGGACACUCCAGGAUUCCCAGGGAGAUCCCCAGGAUACCCAGGGAGACCCCCAGGAUCUGCAGGGACAACCUCUGGAUGCCCAGAGGGACCCCCAGGAUCCGUAGGGAGACCCCCCAGGAUUCCCAGGGACACCCCUGGGAUCCUCUGGGAGAUCCCCAGGAUCCUCAGGGAGACCUUCAGGGAAACCCCCAGGAUUCUCUGGGAGACCCCCAGGUUCCAACGGUGACCAUCUAGAUCCUUUGGUAGACGCCCUGGAUUCCCAAGGAGACCCCCAGGAUCCAUAGGGAGACCCCCAGGAUGCCCAGGGACACCCCAAGGAUUCCCAGGGAGACCCCAAGGAUCCGUAGGGAGACCCCCAGGAUUCCCAGGGACACCCCCAGGAUUCCCAGGGACACCCCCAAGAUUCCCAGGGACAACCCCAGGACGCCCAGGGAGACCCCCCAGGAUCCAAGGGGACACCCCAGGAUUCCCAGGGACACCCCCAGAUUCCCAGGGAGACCCCCAGGAUCCUCUGGCUCCCCCCCAUCCCGGCAUUCCCGGCUCCAGGGGGACCCUCGGCACCGUCUCCCUUUGCCCUGCUCCUCCUUUUCCUGCCUUGGAUUGCACUUUUCCCUGUUUUUUCCUGACUGUUCCAAGGGAUUCAGUCCCUGGGGGGGAGUUUGCUCCGGGCUGCCUGGAGCCACGGACCAUCCUCCUCCUCCUCCUCCUCUUCCAAAGGGAUACAACCACUGUUGUCCCGGCUCUGCCGCUCCCAGGGGGGCUUGGGAAGGCUCCGGGGGGGGGCUGCUGCUUCCCGCCCUGCCGGGAAAUCCCGGGAAAAGCCAGGGCUGGCGGCGCCGGGGGCUUUUCCCAGGGACACCAGGGAAGCUCCGGAGCCGCUUCCCGACAGCUCAGGUGUGUCCUGGAGCGCUGCUCCGGCCGGGAUCGUGGGGCCAGAUCCCAGGGAUGAGCUCUGGGCAUUCCCAGACAUCCCAGGGAUGAGCUCUGGGCAUUCCCAGAGAUCCCAGGGAGGCUCCGUGGGGCCGGAUCCCAGGGAUGAGUGCUCUGGGCAUUCCCAGAGAUCCCAGGGAGGCUCUGGGCAUUCCCAGACAUCCCAGGGAUGAGCUCUGGGCAUUCCCAGAGAUCCCAGGGAGGCUCCGGGGGCUCCAUGGGGCCGGAUCCCAGGGAUGAGCGCUCUGGGCAUUCCCAGGGAACCCCCGGGAUCCACAGGGAGACCCCCAGGAUCCACAGGGACAACCCCAGAGAUCCCAGGGAGGCUCUGGACGCUCCGUGGGGCCAGAUCCCAGGGAUGAGCACUCUGGGCAUUCUCAGGGAUCCCAGGGAGGCUCCGGGUGCUCCGUGGCUGGAGCUGAAUAAAGCG